GAUGAACGCUGGCGGCGUGCCUAAUACAUGCAAGUCGAGCGAACGGACGCGAAGCUUGCUUCUCUGAUGUUAGCGGCGGACGGGUGAGUAACACGUGGAUAACCUACCUAUAAGACUGGGAUAACUUCGGGAAACCGGAGCUAAUACCGGAUAAUAUUUUGAACCGCAUGGUUCAAAAGUGAAAGACGGUCUUGCUGUCACUUAUAGAUGGAUCCGCGCUGCAUUAGCUAGUUGGUAAGGUAACGGCUUACCAAGGCAACGAUGCAUAGCCGACCUGAGAGGGUGAUCGGCCACACUGGAACUGAGACACGGUCCAGACUCCUACGGGAGGCAGCAGUAGGGAAUCUUCCGCAAUGGGCGAAAGCCUGACGGAGCAACGCCGCGUGAGUGAUGAAGGUCUUCGGAUCGUAAAACUCUGUUAUUAGGGAAGAACAGAUGUGGAAGUAACUGUGCACAUCUUGACGGUACCUAAUCAGAAAGCCACGGCUAACUACGUG
rnacentral:rRNA from 1 species